CUGCCUUAGUAACAGCUCACAUAUUUUUCCAUCAAGGCAUGGCAGGACAGCGAAGUGGGCAGUUACCCCUGGAGCAGGGUUGCAGGCAGAGACCAGAUGAGC